GAGGCAGCAGUGGGGAAUAUUGCGCAAAUGGGCGAAAAGCCUGACGCAGCGACGCCGCGUGGGUGAGGAAGGCCUUCGGGUUGUAAAGCCCUGUCAGGUGGAACGAAUGUCGCCCCGAGCGAAUAACUCGGGGAGGUGACGGUACCACCAGAGGAAGCCCCGGCAAACUACGUGCCAGCAGCCGCGGUAAUACGUAGGGGGCGAGCGUUGUUCGGAAUUACUGGGCGUAAAGAGCGCGUAGGCGGUCAAAUAAGUCGGGCGUGAAAUCCCUCAGCUUAACUGAGGUUUGGCGCUUGAAACUAUUUGACUUGAGUUUAGGAGAGGAGAGCGGAAUUCCCAGUGUAGCGGUGAAA
rnacentral:rRNA from 1 species